rnacentral:rRNA from 1 species
UACGUAGGGGGCAAGCGUUAUCCGGAUUUACUGGGUGUAAAGGGAGCGUAGACGGCAUGGCAAGCCAGAUGUGAAAGCCCGGGGCUCAACCCCGGGACUGCAUUUGGAACUGUCAGGCUAGAGUGUCGGAGAGGAAAGCGGAAUUCCUAGUGUAGUGGUGAAAUGCGUAGAUAUUAGGAGGAACACCAGUGGCGAAGGCGGCUUUCUGGACGAUGACUGACGUUGAGGCUCGAAAGCGUGGGGAGCAAACAGG